rnacentral:rRNA from 1 species
CGAAAGGGAGAGUAACGCGUUGGAUACCUACCCCCAGGUUCGGGAUAGCUGCGGGAAANUGCAGGUAAUACCGAAUAAUAUCUCCGGAUCAAAGGUGUGAUUCCGCCUGGAGACGGAUCCGCGUCCUAUUAGCUUGUUGGUGGGGUAACGGCCUACCAAGGCAACGAUGGGUACCGGGCGUGAGAGCGUGACCCGGCUCACUGGGACUGAGACACUGCCCAGACACCUACGGGUGGCUGCAGUCGAGAAUCUUUGGCAAUGGACGAAAGUCUGACCAAGCGACGCCGCGUGCGGGAUGAAGGCCUUCGGGUUGUAAACCGCUGUCAGUUGGGAGGAAAUCACAUGGGGUACUCUCCAUGUGUUGACCUAUCUUCAGAGGAAGGACGGGCUAAGUUCGUGCCAGCAGCCGCGGUAAGACGAACCGUCCAAACGUUAUUCGGAAUCACUGGGCUUAAAGGGUGCGUAGGCGGUGCUGUAAGUUGGGUGUGAAAUCCCUCGGCUCAACCGAGGAAUUGCGCCCAAUACUGCAGUACUAGAGGGAGACAGAGGUGAGCGGAACUUGU